ensembl:lncRNA
AUGUCCCUGUCCAUGACAGCAAGGUUGUGGCUAGAUGGUCUUUAAAGUCCCUCCAACCCCUUCACAUUCCAUGAUCCUGUGAUAAUAUUGCCUAGUGGCCUUCAAGUACACUUUAAGUUUUAUUUUCAUUUUCACCUGGGCACUGUGAUGGAAGAAUGAAGAUGAGCAGUGGGUUUUUACUGAAAAUAGAUUUCCACUGUGUGGCUUUUGAUCUUACUUGGCAAACAAAACAAGAAAGUGAAAAAUGUAGAUAAAAUCAAAGGUGCCUUGCCUUCUUUCCAAAAUAUCUCAUAAAAAUUGAAAAGCAUGUACUCUUUUUUCCAAGUAGAAACACUACGUUCUAUUUUAGCCUGAAACAAAAUUGUUCUGUUUUGUGAAAGCAGAAGAUGCCACUGAUUUCACAGAAGUGUGGAACCAUCUCAAGCUGCUUUGAUAAAGGCAAGUGAUGAAAAGAGUUUGUCCCUGUUGCUCAGGGGGGCUUUGAACAUUUUUGAAAUAAGAGUGUUUUCCUCACAUGUAAAAUCACACCUUGAACAUCAACGCUCUGCUCAAACCAGCAGACAUUUCCCUCCAUUUCCCAUCUUGGUAAACCCCAAGCAAUCACAAUUUGGUCUCGGAGUCCAAAAGCUGAUUUGGCACAUCAUGCACAGACCUCAGAUUAGAGCUUCAGCAAAUUCACAGGCCUCCUCUGGCUGCUGAUUUUUUUCCACCUCCACCUUCCCCACACCUGGAAAGAGAACAGACAGGACAUUUUUGUUCACUCUACUGCAAUUUGUGUUUAGUGACUUGGAUGUGCAAGGAAAUGCAGGUAUCAGUAGAGCCAUUUAUAAUGGAUGUUAAACUUGGAAAGCUAAAGCAGCAAACCAUUUUCAGCUUAGGAAUCCAAGAAGGCUUAGGAAAUACUUCACCAAGCAUUUCUCCUCCAUCUCCUUGUGCAACGAGGCAGCUCAUCUUACCAAUCAAACAAGAAGCCCUUUCUUGCCUCCCAUAAGGCAAAGAACAAGCUGCAACAGUCAUCCAUGGCUCACACUACUCAAAAUACCUCUGCACACUGAUAAAGGUGCUAUCAAAGGGUUCAUCACCGCUGCAGCACGUGUUUUUGCACUGAGACUUCUCUGCACCGCUUCGUUUUUCCUCGUCAGCAUGUGAAAAUCCGACUCAGGCUUUAAAUACUUCCUUGGCAAAGUUACAUUUUGAAAUAUCAUAACUAUAAUUAUUUUCGCUGUUAGCUGAGAAUACCACAUAAGAAUUCAAUUCUGACAAGACCUGAGGAUCCUCACGUCUCUGUAACAUCCCCAGAGACUUGAGGCUUGUCUCUGUUAUAACUAGCUCGUCGGUAGAGUGCAGCAAUCUUGAUGACAAAGUAACAUGCAGAUGUCACACUUUCAUUUCAGUCUCCAGGAUCUGCAUAUAAUUACCCAGACAAGUAUCACAAGGAUUUGUUACAUCUUCAUCAUAAUUUUUUUUUUUUUUCUUUUUUUUGGGGAGCUCACAACUUUUGAUAACCAGGUCACAGCCACAAGCUUUGCUACAAAUUGAGAUUUCUUAACAGUACCUGUCCAUGGAAAGUGUGAGGCAUUAAAGAAAUAUUU